AGUGAACGCUGGCGGCGUGCUUAACACAUGCAAGUCGAACGAGAACGGAUUAUAGCUUGCUAUAAUUGUCAGCUAAGUGGCGCACGGGUGAGUAAUGUAUAGGUAAUAUGCCUCUUACUAAGGGAUAACAAUUGGAAACGAUUGCUAAUACCUUAUAUUCCUUUUAAUCAAAAGAUAAAAAGGGAAAGAUUUAUUGGUAAGAGAUUAGCCUGUAUUGUAUCAGUUAGUUGGUGGGGUAAUGGCCUACCAAGACAAUGACGCAUAACUGGUUUGAGAGGAUGAUCAGUCACACUGGAACUGAGACACGGUCCCGACUCCUACGGGAGGCAGCAGUGGGGAAUAUUGCACAAUGGACGAAAGUCUGAUGCAGCAACGCCGCGUGGAGGAUGGCACAUUUCGGUGCGUAAACUCCUUUUAUAUAAGAAGAUAAUGACGGUAUUAUAUGAAUAAGCACCGGCUAACUCCGUGCCAGCAGCCGCAGUAA
rnacentral:rRNA from 1 species